ACAUUGCGUUGGGGGAAUAAUAACUAAACAGGAAGAGCGAUUCACCAUAAGGGCGAGGAGGGGCACCAAAUUGGGCCAUGAUCAGCUACAGUCGCUGAGAUGGAAAACAUGCAGCGGUCGUGAGAGGCAGCGUUGCCAAGAUUAAAAGCGUUGGACAUCAAUUUCUUGAUGUGA